UAUUUUAAACAAUUGAAAAACUGUUAACAUAAAUAAAAAAGGAAUUUCUUUCGAAACAUUUAUCAAAAUAUGGUAAACAUUGCAUGGUUCAUUUCUAACAUGAAGAAUUUUUAAAAAAAAAAAACACAUGGAAUAAAGCAAUUUUCAGAAUAUUAUAAAAUAUUUUACUGAAAUACACAUGUAGCGCAUUUAUAAAGAAGGAAAAAAAAAACAAGCAAUUUUUUAAUCAUUAUUUCUCAUAUUUAGUGACCAGUGGCGACCGUAAUUGCUGUCCCAUAUUGGAACAACCUGUUCUUUCUGGCCACUAAGAUUGAUCCAAAUAUUUACACAGAAACAACAGGGUUAACAGGUUCCGCUCAUAACACACUGUUCAUUAAUACUAAAGAUUAUUGACUCUUUAUGGUUGUUUUUUACCUAACCUAGCAAGGGAAUUCUCAAUUUCAAAAAGGGUACAAAUUUGAAUGACUUUUUUGGCAGAAGAAUAUUUGUUGUCAGAAAAAUGUUUUUAUUAACCUGUUUUAGGUGAUCUCUAACUUUUAUACCAUUUGAUUAGUAGCACCAUGUACUUACAAAUUUCAUAAAUGAUGGAUUGCUUGAAAGAGCAGGAGAUAACAAGAAGUGGGACAACACGCAUAGCUUGAAAAUUAUAAUUUUUUGUGUGAAUUUUUCAUUAAUAUAAGUACACAACUAAUCAUAGUUAUGCUGUCAAAUAACAUUGUUAAUGUUUAAAAUAUUAAAUAUGAUCUAUAAGGUGUGUUUCAUUUCCUAACAACUAGUAUGUGUUGGCUACAAUAAAGUGACAUAUGACAAAGGAGGUGCCAAAAAUAUUAAAAAAUAGAUCAUCAUUUAUCAUCAGUCCCUAAUUAGGGAGAAUUUCUUCUCAGACAAGCCCACCGCUGAAAAAUAUGAUAUUGAAAGGA